AUUGAACGCUGGCGGCAGGCCUAACACAUGCAAGUCGAGCGAGCGGCGGACGGGUGAGUAAUGUAUGGGAAACUGCCCGAUGGAGGGGGAUAACUACUGGAAACGGUAGCUAAUACCGCAUACCAUCGGAUGUGCCCAUAGGGGAUUAGCUAGUAGGUGGGGUAAUGGCUCACCUAGGCGAUGAUCCCUAGCUGGUCUGAGAGGAUGACCAGCCACACUGGAACUGAGACACGGCCCAGACUCCUACGGGAGGCAGCAGUGGGGAAUAUUGCACAAGGGGCGAAAGCCUGAUGCAGCCAUGCCGCGUGUAUGAAGAAGGCCUUAGGGUUGUAAAGUACUUUCAGUCGGGAGGCGUUACCGGCAGAAGAAGCACCGGCUAACUCCGUGCCAGCAGCCGCGGUAAUAC
rnacentral:rRNA from 1 species